GAAGAAUCAGACAUCAAACAUCAGAAAGCUGCAGGCUCAUCUCAGCAGCUUUUGUAUUUUUAUCUUAGCAGGGAACUUGUCCAGCCUUAAACUUCUUUUUCCUGCCACUUUCCUGUCUGCUCAGGGGAGAUCAUUCAGAGAAGACUUCACAGCGUUUCCACUGCUCAGCCAUGCUACUGUUGCUCAUCUCAAUACUGGGGAUAUUUGCCCUGAGAGAUUCCAGAGGCCAGUCAGUGACCCAGCCUGAUGAUCCUGUUUUGGUCUCUGAAGGAACCUCAUUGGAGCUGAAGUGUAACUAUUCCUACGGUGCAACUCCCUAUCUCUUCUGGUAUGUCCAGCACCCCAGGCAAAGACCCCAGCUGCUCCUCAAGUACUUUUCAGGGAACACCGUGGUUCAAGGCAUUAGAGGCUUCGUGGCUGAAUUUAAAAGCAGUGAAUUUUCCUUCAACCUGAGGAAAUUCUUAGCCCAUUGGAGUGACUCGGCUGAGUACUUCUGUGCACUGAGUGACACAGUGCCUGGGACCGCAGGAGGAGUUGAACACAAACCACUCGCGGUGGUGGAGUUUUCAGACACUCAAGAUCGCUUCUUGUUUUAUUUUAAGCGAUCUUUUGCUAUGUGAUUGCAAAUGAGGCAAAGAGAGCUGAGCAGACAGAGGUGACUCACUGUCAUUGGUUAAACCACACACCCUGAAGGACUACAGGGGGCACUUUAUCUAGGAGAAGUUUUUAUUUGAAGUCUUUUUUUUGAUUCUGAACUCAAGCUGAGUUUGAAGAAAAAUAAGUCUUAUACCAAGGACUCCAAGCAGCUGGAAGACCAUAAUCCAACCUCCCAACCCUAACUCUGCCUGUGAAAUCAAAGUGGUCUUCCUCCCUCCCUGGGC